rnacentral:rRNA from 1 species
GGGUUGUGAGGUUAAGCGACUAAGCGUACACGGUGGAUGCCCUGGCAGUCAGAGGCGAUGAAGGACGUGCUAAUCUGCGAUAAGCGUCGGUGAGGUGAUAUGAACCGUUAUAACCGGCGAUUUCCGAAUGGGGAAACCCAGUGUGUUUCGACACACUAUCAUUAACUGAAUCCAUAGGUUAAUGAGGCGAACCGGGGGAACUGAAACAUCUAAGUACCCCGAGGAAAAGAAAUCAACCGAGAUUCCCCCAGUAGCGGCGAGCGAACGGGGAGGAGCCCAGAGCCUGAAUCAGUGUGUGUGUUAGUGGAAGCGUCUGGAAAGGCGUGCGAUACAGGGUGACAGCCCCGUACACAAAAAUGCACAUAUUGUGAGCUCGAUGAGUAGGGCGGGACACGUGGUAUCCUGUCUGAAUAUGGGGGGACCAUCCUCCAAGGCUAAAUACUCCUGACUGACCGAUAGUGAACCAGUACCGUGAGGGAAAGGCGAAAAGAACCCCGGCGAGGGGAGUGAAAAAGAACCUGAAACCGUGUACGUACAAGCAGUGGGAGCCUCUUAAUGGGGUGACUGCGUACCUUUUGUAUAAUGGGUCAGCGACUUAUAUUCUGUAGCAAGGUUAACCGAAUAGGGGAGCCGAAGGGAAACCGAGUCUUAACUGGGCGUUAAGUUGCAGGGUAUAGACCCGAAACCCGGUGAUCUAGCCAUGGGCAGGUUGAAGGUUGGGUAACACUAACUGGAGGACCGAACCGACUAAUGUUGAAAAAUUAGCGGAUGACUUGUGGCUGGGGGUGAAAGGCCAAUCAAACCGGGAGAUAGCUGGUUCUCCCCGAAAGCUAUUUAGGUAGCGCCUCGUGAAUUCAUCUCCGGGGGUAGAGCACUGUUUCGGCAAGGGGGUCAUCCCGACUUACCAACCCGAUGCAAACUGCGAAUACCGGAGAAUGUUAUCACGGGAGACACACGGCGGGUGCUAACGUCCGUCGUGAAGAGGGAAACAACCCAGACCGCCAGCUAAGGUCCCAAAGUCAUGGUUAAGUGGGAAACGAUGUGGGAAGGCCCAGACAGCCAGGAUGUUGGCUUAGAAGCAGCCAUCAUUUAAAGAAAGCGUAAUAGCUCACUGGUCGAGUCGGCCUGCGCGGAAGAUGUAACGGGGCUAAACCAUGCACCGAAGCUGCGGCAGCGACGCUUAUGCGUUGUUGGGUAGGGGAGCGUUCUGUAAGCCUGUGAAGGUGUACUGUGAGGUAUGCUGGAGGUAUCAGAAGUGCGAAUGCUGACAUAAGUAACGAUAAAGCGGGUGAAAAGCCCGCUCGCCGGAAGACCAAGGGUUCCUGUCCAACGUUAAUCGGGGCAGGGUGAGUCGACCCCUAAGGCGAGGCCGAAAGGCGUAGUCGAUGGGAAACAGGUUAAUAUUCCUGUACUUGGUGUUACUGCGAAGGGGGGACGGAGAAGGCUAUGUUGGCCGGGCGACGGUUGUCCCGGUUUAAGCGUGUAGGCUGGUUUUCCAGGCAAAUCCGGAAAAUCAAGGCUGAGGCGUGAUGACGAGGCACUACGGUGCUGAAGCAACAAAUGCCCUGCUUCCAGGAAAAGCCUCUAAGCAUCAGGUAACAUCAAAUCGUACCCCAAACCGACACAGGUGGUCAGGUAGAGAAUACCAAGGCGCUUGAGAGAACUCGGGUGAAGGAACUAGGCAAAAUGGUGCCGUAACUUCGGGAGAAGGCACGCUGAUAUGUAGGUGAAGCGACUUGCUCGUGGAGCUGAAAUCAGUCGAAGAUACCAGCUGGCUGCAACUGUUUAUUAAAAACACAGCACUGUGCAAACACGAAAGUGGACGUAUACGGUGUGACGCCUGCCCGGUGCCGGAAGGUUAAUUGAUGGGGUUAGCGGUAACGCGAAGCUCUUGAUCGAAGCCCCGGUAAACGGCGGCCGUAACUAUAACGGUCCUAAGGUAGCGAAAUUCCUUGUCGGGUAAGUUCCGACCUGCACGAAUGGCGUAAUGAUGGCCAGGCUGUCUCCACCCGAGACUCAGUGAAAUUGAACUCGCUGUGAAGAUGCAGUGUACCCGCGGCAAGACGGAAAGACCCCGUGAACCUUUACUAUAGCUUGACACUGAACAUUGAGCCUUGAUGUGUAGGAUAGGUGGGAGGCUUUGAAGUGUGGACGCCAGUCUGCAUGGAGCCGGCCUUGAAAUACCACCCUUUAAUGUUUGAUGUUCUAACGUUGGCCCCUGAUCGGGGUUGCGGACAGUGUCUGGUGGGUAGUUUGACUGGGGCGGUCUCCUCCUAAAGAGUAACGGAGGAGCACGAAGGUUGGCUAAUCCUGGUCGGACAUCAGGAGGUUAGUGCAAUGGCAUAAGCCAGCUUGACUGCGAGCGUGACGGCGCGAGCAGGUGCGAAAGCAGGUCAUAGUGAUCCGGUGGUUCUGAAUGGAAGGGCCAUCGCUCAACGGAUAAAAGGUACUCCGGGGAUAACAGGCUGAUACCGCCCAAGAGUUCAUAUCGACGGCGGUGUUUGGCACCUCGAUGUCGGCUCAUCACAUCCUGGGGCUGAAGUAGGUCCCAAGGGUAUGGCUGUUCGCCAUUUAAAGUGGUACGCGAGCUGGGUUUAGAACGUCGUGAGACAGUUCGGUCCCUAUCUGCCGUGGGCGCUGGAGAACUGAGGGGGGCUGCUCCUAGUACGAGAGGACCGGAGUGGACGCAUCACUGGUGUUCGGGUUGUCAUGCCAAUGGCACUGCCCGGUAGCUAAAUGCGGAAGAGAUAAGUGCUGAAAGCAUCUAAGCACGAAACUUGCCCCGAGAUGAGUUCUCCCUGAGACUUUAAGUCUCCUGAAGGAACGUUGAAGACGACGACGUUGAUAGGCCGGGUGUGUAAGCGCAGCGAUGCGUUGAGCUAACCGGUACUAAUGAACCGUGAGGCUUAACCUUACAACGCCGAAG